rnacentral:lncRNA from 13 species
CUUAGUCAAACUGCUUAUAAACAGAGCUUAGAUCUUUUCCCGAAAGUCUUCUCUCCUUUCCUUCCUUCUACCCUUAAAGAGAGGCUGGCUUAUUAUUGCAGAUUUCUGCCCAUAAUUUGGGUCAGCACUAAUUUCCCCAGUGCCAGAUACUGCCAUGCUUGGAGCAUCUUCCUUGCCUUUUUCUUUCUGCUCAGGCCUUGCAAGGACCAAGGGGAUGGACAGGCUGAGCACUGAACAGACAAGUGUGGGGCGUUCGUGAGAUGCAAGAAAAGAAGAAAUGGAGACGCUCAAGGGGCAGAAGGAGAGAGGACACUGCUCCCUGCAGCAUGGCUUUGAUGGCCACAGUUUAUGCUCUGUAUCUCAGGCUGGAGUGCACUGUCACGAACACCACUCACUGCAGCCUUGACCUCCCAAGCUGAAGCCAUCCUCCCACCUCAGCCUCCUGAGUAGCUGGGACCACAGGUGCACACCACCAUGAAUCACUGCCUGACUAAUUUAUUUUUAUUUCUAGUAGAAACAGGGUCUCCCUAUGUUGCCCAGACCAGUCCUCAACCUCCUGGGCUCAAGUAAUACUCCCAAAGUGCUGGGAUACUAACGUCAGCUAUAGUGCCUGUCCUUCUCUUUCCUUUUAAAGUUUAUUGUGUAUUCAAACGGUUUAUAAAGAUUAGAGUUUAAAGAAAAACUAGUUUUCAAUUUCUGACAUGGCAAAUAAAUAUUAAAGCAUGGACA